rnacentral:rRNA from 1 species
GACGAACGCUGGCGGCGUGCUUAACACAUGCAAGUCGAACGGAAAGGCCCUGCUUUUGUGGGGUGCUCGAGUGGCGAACGGGUAAGUAACACGUGAGUAACCUGCCCUUGACUUUGGGAUAACUUCAGGAAACUGGGGCUAAUACCGGAUAGGAGCUCCUGCUGCAUGGUGGGGGUUGGAAAGUUUCGGCGGUUGGGGAUGGACUCGCGGCUUAUCAGCUGGUUGGUGGGGUAGUGGCUGACCAAGGGUUUGACGGGUAGCCGGCCUGGGAGGGUGACCGGGCACAUGGGGCCUGAGAUACGGCCCAGACUCCAACGGGAGGCAGCAGUGGGGAAUAUUGCACAAUGGGCGGAAGCCUGAUGCAGCAACGCCGCGUGCGGGAUGACGGCCUUCGGGUUGUAAACCGCUUUGGCAUGUGACGAAGCGUGAGUGACGGUAAUGGGUAAAGAAGCACCGGCUAACUACGUG